UAGGAAAACCAAAUAAUUUCUUGUCAGGAGGAAAUCUGUGUUGCUGUUGUUUAGUCCCCGUUUCUCAGUGAUGCUUGCAGACAAGGAUACAGCCCACGGGAGUGGAUGCGCACUCUGCAGUGAUGGGAGCAUGCAGGACCGGAGAGGAAGGGCUGCAUCAAGCCUGGAAGGAGUGGUGAGCCAUGUACAACUUUUAGCAAAGCAGGAAUUGGGAAGCCAGAAAGCAGAAUUCAGUAAAGAUUACUUCACAGAGUAGUGGCAUCUGAUCUGAGGUCACAACACAUUUACCUUUUUCACUUCAGUUUUCUUCUAAAAACAUCUUGUACUUGUCUUUUCUUCACAUCUGUGUAAUGACGUACGGCUACAGGGCUAAACUCAUUCACAUUUUGCUAUCUUAUUGUCUUUGGCAAAUAUGUCUGAAGGGGCUGCAGGGCUGAAAAGGGCUCAGUGAAAGCCAUUGUGACAAAGUAACAUAAAUGAGACGAAUCUUGCACACGUGAAUGUGCUUGGAAGAUGCAUUGAUUUGGCAAGCUGUAACGUGACUUCGGCUGCCUGAGCUGACUCGGGAAGCUUUCCAUGUCCUUUUGCUUCCUGUAUUUUCCCUUUGAGUUGCCCAAGUUUAUUCUCACUUUUGGUUUCAGGCUGAUUCACAAACACCCAGGAGAUGCUCCAGCUAAUUCUUGAGCUUCCAGUCAGUGAGAGAGAAAUUGUGCUUAUAGUGUAAAUGGAGAUUGCUCUCUGCAAAAGGCUCUCCCGCUUGCGUUGCUGUGCUUCAGAUCUAAGGCACAGAGGGUUGCUGUUAAAGGAUGUCUAACAAUGAAGAAACCUUGCUUUUGAGCUGUAGCUGUCCACAGAUGCAGGCGGCACCCCUGCAGAUGUUGAAGGAAUAAAAGAGCCAGUAUGUGCGCCUGUGACAGACCAUCACCGGGGGCACCCACUCUUCCAGUUUUCUCAUUGAAGAGUGCCAAGGGUCAGGAUUUUCAUCUUGCCACAUUGUUUGACAACUGGUACCACUGGAAGCAGAGUGCCCUUGUGUCAGAGACAGGAGAAAGAUGAGCCUCCGCACACCUUCAGCUGUCCAUACCCCAGGGGCACCAACUGACAUUGUCUAGGAUGCUGAGCUACAGGCAUUCUGGGUCCCAAAGCAAGUAACAUCCUGUGGAGCUGCACCGUAUGUUAGUUAUCCAAAUGGUUGGAUCAUUAUUCAUAAGAAGGCAAAGGCUGGAUCGUCUGACUGUGCAGAAUAGCACCCAUUCCUCAGCAAUGUAGAAAAAGUUGGAUUUAAGUCCUUAUCUGGAUUGCACAGGUGAGAUACAAGUGCCAUGUGUAGAUGUGCCUGGGCUACUUUUCAUCUGUGAAGGAGCUGCAAUGGGAAACUCAGGACCUGAUGUUUGCUCUGCAGUAGAGGCUUAAGUGGUCAUGGCUUGCCCAGUAUGGGUCACUGGACAGACACUGUUUCAGGAGUGCUUGCAGACACAGCAUGAACACCACACAAAUCAGUGUGUGGGUUUAAUCUACUUGGUGUAGUACAGUUAUCUCCAUAAGGCCUGACGUGGCUGGGAUGAGCCACAGUGGUUACUGCUGAUGGUUUCAUAACUGUGACUGGCAAUACUAGUGUUUCUGUAUAUAUGUGUAACUGUUCAAACUGCGCUGCUUAUUGUUUGAUGGAGACAGAGUAUGCUGUUUUCUUAUCUGCCCAGUUUCCUCCACUUCAUUGGAGCAAGAAGGCAAAGCAUGUGUUUAUGCACAUACUGACUGUCAUAAAAUUCACACCUAAGAAAGUCAGGUCAAGGUACAGGUACAUAUGUACAAAUAUACAGAAGAGGUCCCUACGGGCUAUUAGCAAGCAGGACAAUAAUAAUCUUACCCUAGACCAUUUGGCCUUUAGAAGCCAAAAUUGAAGAGAUUUGAAAAUUGGGUAAAGAGUCACAGGUUGAUGUGAUUUCCUUGGUCCACUAAGACAAAAAUCAGCUUGUUUUUUUUUAGGAGAAAAAAGCAAGCAAAAAGUGAGGCAGCUUUGGGGUGAUAGCUUGGUCUUUUUCUAUUAGCUGAAUCUCAUUGUGGCUUAUGCAUUCAUAACAUUCAGAAUUUUACCUGAACUAUUCACACAAAAGAAUGUGCUAAGGACAAUGGGAAAUAACAUAUGGAUUGAGACAAGUAAUAAAUAAGGUGUAAUGCAUUUAUUCUGGAUCCAUCCAUUCCACCUACCCACAUACCUAAAGCACAUAUCACUGCAGUAGCUUAGCAUCAUGUCUUAUCCCUGGCAUGUUCAUGUUUAUGUAUUUCUGUUCUGUGGAAAAAUAAGGCAAAUUACAGGGUUUCUUUACAUUCCA